CAUUCAGGCUAGUCUCCACACAGCUCCUGAACACUGGUGUCUGACAGUCCUCUGAAGCUCUGCUCCGAAAGGUCCCUUGUGAAGCUUUCUCCUUAGGACAUCCUCUCCCACAUUCCCCAGACCAGGCCCCUGUUUGGAUGUCAAGUGUGUCAUGACCUUUUCUGGGGAGAUGUGAAGAAUGCCAGCAGUAAGAAAUGGACCAAAGAAACACUUCCACCCAAGUCUAGCCGCAUGAACCAAUGGGUUUAACUGGGGUAACUUACAGAAGAGUUGGCAAGAAAUGAGAAACCUACAGGAAGCUACACAGUCAGUGAAAGGAAAGGGAGGUGCAAGCUGUGGAGGAGACAGCCAGACCAGGAGUCCAAGAGGCUCCUGUCCAAAUGAGCCUCGGCUGCUGCUGCCUGGCAGGCGGAUCACUCACCGGAAAGAGGCCAUGGCCAGUGACCCGGGGCAGCCUCUCCCUGAGCCCUCCAUAUGGCUCCUUAGAGAUUUCCAGUAUUUUCAGACUAAAUGGCCUGGAAAAGAAUCAUAAUAAAAUUUGUACUU